rnacentral:rRNA from 1 species
UGCGWGCUACCAUGCAAGUCGAACGGCAGCACGAGAGAGCUUGCUCUCUUGGUGGCGAGUGGCUGACGGGUGAGGAAUACAUCGGAAUCUACCUUUUGGUGGGGGAUAACGUAGGGAAACUUACGCUAAUACCGCAUACGCCCUUCGGGGGAAAGCCGGGGCCCUUCGGGCCUGGCGCUGAUAGAUGAGCCGAUGUCGGAUUAGCUAGUUGGUGAGGUAAUGGCUCACCAAGGCGACGAUCCGUAGCUGGUCUGAGAGGAUGAUCAGCCACACUGGAACUGAGACACGGUCCAGACUCCUACGGGAGGCAGCAGUGGGGAAUAUUGGACAAUGGGCGCAAGCCUGAUCCAGCCAUACCGCGUGGGUGAAGAAGGCCUUCGGGUUGUAAAGCCCUUUUGUUGGGAAAGAAAAGCAAUCGGUUAAUACCCGGUUGUUCUGACGGUACCCAAAGAAUAAGCACCGGCUAACUUCGUGCCAGCAGCCGCGGUAAUACGAAGGGUGCAAGCGUUACUCGGAAUUACUGGGCGUAAAGCGUGCGUAGGUGGUGGUUUAAGUCCGUUGUGAAAGCCCUGGGCUCAACCUGGGAAUUGCAGUGGAUACUGGGUCACUAGAGUGUGGUAGAGGAUAGUGGAAUUUCCGGUGUAGCAGUGAAGUGCGUAGAGAUCGGAAGGAACAUCUGUGGCGAAGGCGACUAUCUGGG